UACAGAGGGUGCGAGCGUUAAUCGGAAUUACUGGGCGUAAAGCGUGCGCAGACGGUUGCGUAAGUCAGACGUGAAAGCCCCGGGCUCAACCUGGGAAUUGCAUUUGAGACUGCGUAGCUAGGGUGCGGAAGAGGGAAGCGGAAUUUCCGGUGUAGCGGUGAAAUGCGUAGAUAUCGGAAGGAACACCAGUGGCGAAAGCGGCUUCCUGGUCCAGCACCGACGUUCAGGCACGAAAGCGUGGGGAGCAAACAGG
rnacentral:rRNA from 1 species